GCAUGUGAGACUGGUUUGACAGGAUAGCUUGGUCGAUGGAGCUUGGAGUUCAAACUGUGAGAUGGAUUCAACUGAGUAGUACUCAUAUUAUCUGAUAGGAGAAGUCUGAAAAUUCUGUUUGACUGGCACAUCUAGGGCCCCCUCAUUGUUGGAGGAGGAAUCAAGAUUCAUUUCAAGGCCAUGCUGCAAUGGGCUGUAUAUUGACCAAUAUACCGACAGCCCUAUUAUGGCACUUUGCUUUUUUCUCUAAUAUAGCAUGAUGGAUUUGAUCUAUCCAUCCUUCCUAAGAAAAAGGUAAAUUCAUUGUUCACAUUAUAUUCAUGCUCCAAUUUUAUGAUUCGACAUGUUCAGUUAUCAAUCUUAAAGUUAGGUUCUGCAUGAUGACAAACACCUAACAAGAAUUGAACCAUCAUUACAAGGAUCAUCAGCUUGUGAUUUUUCCUGCCCAAACAUUCAGAGUAACCUAUGAUAUAUUCAGCAAAUCAUGCAGCAAUUAGGAUAACCUCACAAUCAUACAGAUUAUUUUAAUAUCAUGCUUUACGUUGAGUAAUGGAAAUGAUAUUCGUAAUAAUAAUGAUAUUAGUAUAUUGUUAAUGGUAAUGGUAAUGAUGAUGAUAAUGGUAAUAAUAAUGAUAAUGACUAUAUAGUAUUUGUAAUGAUAAUGAUAACGAUAACGAUGAUGGUAAUGGUAAUGGCAAUGGCAAUGGUAUUGACAAAAAUAAUGAUAAUAACAAUGAUAAAUAAUAUCACUUGUAUUGCUUUGUUCUUUUUUAUUUCGUUUGAGUCAUAUCUUGUUUUGAGCAGUACAGAUAUACUUCUGCCUAUUACCAAUAAUUGAUCAUCCAGGACUUGAGUAUACUACUCUCCCCCAUCUUGAGUGAGAUCCACUGGUUCUCAUGCAAAUCUAAUAGUUUAGCAGUUGUGUUGGAUAUGAUUCUCUAGGAAUGAGCACUGGAUUGCCAACAAAAUGGCUUAUCAUCAUGAGAUUACCAUAUCUAUCGUUAUCAGAAGUACAAUUAUUCUUUCAGAAUCCUUCAUCCAAGUGUUAGAGAUUUUUCUUAUCACUCUGUAAAACACUCAUCGAAGCAUAUGUCCAUCCCAUUCUAUUCAUGUAUUAAAAAUUGGGAAAGUUGAUGGAAUCCUUCUUUUCCAUGAUAAGAAUAAGAACAUAACUAUCUUUUCUCA